rnacentral:rRNA from 1 species
CUUUACUGUAACCUGGAAUUGGGUUCGGGCUUUGCUUGCGCAGGAUAGGUGGGAGGCGUUGAAGCAUUCCUUGUGGGGAGUGUGGAGCCAACGGUGAGAUACCACUCUGGUGAGGCUAGAAUUCUAACCCAAUGCCGUGACCCGGCUUGGGAACAGUUUCAGGCGGGCAGUUUGACUGGGGCGGUCGCCUCCUAAAAGGUAACGGAGGCGCGCAAAGGUUCUCACAGGCUGGUUGGAAAUCAGCCGUAGAGUGUAAAGGCAUAAGAGAGCUUGACUGCGAGACGUACAGGUCGAGCAGGGACGAAAGUAGGCCUUAGUGAUCCGACGGUUCCGCGUGGAAGGGCCGUCGCUCAACGGAUAAAAGUUA